GUGCUCGCUUUGGCAGCACAUUUACUAAAACUGGAAUGAUACAAAGAAGAUUAGCAUGGUCCCUGGGCAAAGAUUACUCGCAAAUUUGUGAAGCAUUCUUAAAAAAA
ensembl:snRNA U6 U6 spliceosomal RNA